CGAGGCCAGGGAUCGAGCCCGAAACCUCAUGGUUCCUAGUCGGAUUUGCUAACCCCUGAGCCACAACGGGAACUCCUUCACUGCUUAAUCUAAACGCAGCUUAGGCUAUGGACUGUGUUAGAAUUGCUAACCUUUCACAGUUGCCACUGUCCCCCUUGCAAAAGAAAACUGUUUCAGAAUUUUCUUUAAAUAGACCCUUAAUGUUAUCUCCUAAUUACUGUAAAGUUACUUGUAUCUUAGGUGAAUUAUAUACUCAAGAUUGAAAAUGUCAAUGGCUAAUCCAAAAUAAACUGUGAAAGUUACUGAAACAUGGGUAUAAGUACAUGUGGUUAGAAACAAUGAAUUGACUUCCUAGAAUGUAGACUAUCCAAAAGACGUGCCUUGCCUUUAUGCGCUAAACAUCAAGGCAAUUUUAAACAAUUUAGAUUCAAAACAAAGAAACAGAGCUUUCAAAGUCGUGGAUGAGAGAAAACGGAAAUUGCUACAUCGUGUGCUAAAUUAGAAGCAAAUCUAAACCUCCCAGCAUGCUCGUGUACUCCCCCAUCUGAUUUGUGUAAGUAGCUAGGGAGAGAGUUGACUCCCUCUGGCAGAUGACACCUGCAAAUAGACUUUACUAGUUGAAAUUCUGAUGUGAAAUGAGACAAUUACCAUUAUCAAGCCGAGUUUUCUUUUGAGUUCUUUUUUAACGUCCUCUAAUUCUGAAAGUCUCUGUUAAUUAAGCAGCAAUGACAGACCUUCAUCUUCUUUAAAUACCUUGUUUGUGUGAGGCUGUCACAUGGGAAGAACGAUUAUAUUUUAAACAAUAUGUUCAAGUGUAAAAAAAUCUUCAACAAAUUUUUAAUGCUUAAAAAAAAUGGGAGAAUAUUCCAGGGUUUCUGUAAUGAACAUCUUAGGAUUCUUCCUAAGGGGCUGGAUGUUAUGGAAAGUUUGAAAGGAUUUAAAAUAAUUUUUAUAAAGAAUAUCAAAGACUAAAUGAUGACCUGGAGGUGCACUGUUUCCAUCUUUAGGGAUAUUGAUACGAUUAAAAUAAUAGGACACAGCACGAAAAACCAGGACGUCAUGAUGGCUCUAAUGAUGCUUUGUGUCUUUGUGUUCCUGCCACUCCUAGAAAGCACCCAAAUGGCACAGCUAUAUCAAUAAUUUUUAAAAUUCUAAUUCAAAAUCAUAAGGCAGGGCCAAUCCACAAGUGAUUUCAGAAUUAUUAGAUCUGUUGAGCUGGUAGAAUAACCAAUACCCUGCUCCUCAAAUUGUUUCUUUAAGGUCACAGAUAAAAUGGAAGGGAUGACGCGGCUUUUAGAGGUAUUUCCCUCAACUUCUUCACAAAUCAGUCCAAUGACUCUCAACCCAGCGUCAUUCCUGCCUAUGUUUAUAGCUUCUAACUUUGAAGAAGUCACUUUGAGUAUCAAUUAAAUUGAGAGGAGAGGGCUUGCAGUCUUCUAUAGCUACUGUGAAGAAUCACUAGAAACUUAGUGGCUUAAAAGAACCCAGGUUUAUUCUCUGGCAAACCUGGAGGUCAGAGGUACAAAAUCAUUUUCACUGAAUCAAAAAAAAAAAAAAAAAAAAGAAAGUGUGAGCAGGGCUUGUUCCUUUUGGAGUCUCUGAGAGGAGAAUUUAUGUCCUUGCCUUUUUCAGCUUCUAAUGGCUGCCUGCAUUCCUUGGCUUGUGGCUCCUUCUUCUGUCUUCAAAGCGUAUUACUCCAGCCUCUGCUUUAGUCACCACAUCAGCUUUGGCCUCUCUGAUCUCCUCCCUCCUUCUUACAAGGACCACUGGGAUGACAUUGGACCCACCUGGAUAUUCUCCGACGUCUUCCUCAUCUCAAGCUCUUAACACGAGCACACCUACAGAGCCCUCCACCACAAGGUCACUACGGCAGUUCUGGGCGACCAGCUGGGUGUUCUACAGCUCCAGCCAGUUCUGACACCAUCUACCUGGAGUUAGCAUCCGAUCCCACAGGGAGGAUCUAUGGUGACCGCCACAUUGACUUCAUCCAUCUGUGCUGUUUCUCAGGAAAUAAAGGUCCUGUUUUUAUGGCAAGGCAAGAGAAACUUACACAUAAAAAUCUCUGCCCUUUGGUCUCCUCUGUCCCCACAUGGUGCAUUGUGUCUCUGCAUCACGCUGUCGACCAAAGCUCCCCCAUCAGCAGGAUUUCCUGCUCAGGCAUAAAGAGCAGCAUUCUCCUAGCACGGGCAGGACGACUCCUUCAAGAUAAAAUUCCUUCUUGAUCUCGUACAAGGUCGCAUGACUUACCACGAUGACUCUUGGAUUUGGGUCACAUCAACUGAUUAAUUUGUCAUCAACAAUUCUUAUGGCAAAAGCAGGGGCCCUUCAGGCCUGGCUGAUCACAGGGAGCCUGCAGGCUGAAAAGACUGUGUCUCUUCAAUGGGAGGAAGGUAAACAUGGCGUUCAAGAAAUCGAUGGAAAAAAGGGAAGCAAGCAAGCAAGUCUGGUGUGGCCGAUGCACAGAGAGCGAAGGGGAACAGGAACGAAAAACCAUCAGAGAGGAAGACCCAAGUCAGGUGAGGCUGCAUGAUUCGCCCAGUGUCUCAGCUGUAAAGAAUCGCAGGUGGAUGGAUGUUUCCAGGCUUGACCUCAUUCUCAUUCUGACAUU